rnacentral:lncRNA from 10 species
CCUGCUUCUUGCAAUUACAGUGUAUUCAUGCUAUAUUGUAAGCUGAGAGAGAGAGAGAGAGAGAGAGAGAGAGUGUGUGUGUGUGUGUGUGUGUGUAUGUGCAUGCCUAGGAAAGCCACGUACAAAAUGCUCACAGCUGUAAUGUCUAGGUAUUUAGAUAUUUGGUGACUCUACAAAAAGUUAUUUUUUUCCUGUCAAUAUUUUCUCUUUUCUAUACUGAUUUCAUAAUUUACUAAGUGAGAUAUCUGGUUAUGCUUUAUUUCUCAUUGUUUGUAUGUUUUCUUUUCCCAGGGCACUCAGAAACAUACAUCUAAGGAAAGAUUCACUUAAAAACCAGCCAAGACACAGUCAUAUAAUUGGGAUCUCCAGGGCCCUGAGUAAAGACAGUCUCCUCCCACUUCAUCGUCGGUAAAUCAAACUCUCCACAGAUGGGCAUUUCCAGGUUUUCCUGUGAGUUUCUUGCACCUACAGAGCCUGGCCAAAUACUACAAUCCUGAAGGCCCAGAAACACUGGGAAUGCACAAGGGAGUUCGACUAAACAUGAGGCUCUGCGCCUUCUCACUCGUCUUCAGAAUAGUUUGUGGAAAGUCCCCUUGCCCUCUGCCCCAGCUCGGGUAUGCCACCUGCCCUCAGUCCAGCCUUGGUGGCCUCAACCAAAUUUAGAUGCGUAAUGCCACGUGCGGUUAAUGGAUGGUACCAAAAGGGCGCGCGGCUUCUAUCUCCGCCAGCGCCGCUUUGUUACCUCUGACAACCACUCGAGGCUGGGAAGAGACCUGUGUCGUUUCCACUCAGCUCCAGCCCAGCAACUAAGUACAUUCAUACUAGGGACAUCAAUCUCAGAUGCCAAAGCCUGGAGAUUUGCAUUGCAAAUAGGCGAACGUGGUGACAUUUCACCACUGGGAGCAGAACCUGAGGCAUCUUCCUCUGUGAGAGCUAUGGGGGGGGAAUCCACUUUGUAGUCAAAUUGAGUGCAGAAGGAAGGCAAGAGGGAGGGCAGAAAUUGGACCACUCUAAUUUUGAACGACAGAAAGAAUAUUGAUUUUUGAAAUAUUGUGGUCACUUUUUUUUUUUCCCAAACCAUGGGCUUUUCCUCCAGUACUGAGAUCAGCUUUCUGCAUUUCCGCUUCCAACCCAUAAACCCAUAGCUGAGGCCCAGCUUGUGUAUAUGUAUCCUAUGGACUGCCUUUUCCUGACCCGUGUCUUCUGGAAGGGUUUACUUAAUUAUUUUUUUCAAUUCUUAUGUCCCAUUCAGAUGUCUCACUUCUGUAAUUCUCUAUCAUUUAAAAUCUUUAACAAGGAUUCUUAUACAAAAUGGUGAUAAACAUAGAAUACUUUUAUUUGAGCAUUAAAUAAGUUACUGUAUAGAAAGGGUUUUGUGCUUGAUGCGUCUUAGCUAUUAUUGUCUUGUUAUUUUGUUAGGGCAGUUAUUUUUCUAGGAGGCAGUGUUGGGGGUGGAGAACCUGGUUUUGACAUAGAAAGAUCCGGGUACCAGGCCGGGCGCGGUGGCUCACAUCUGUAAUCCCAGCACUUUGGGAUGCUGAGGCGGGCAGAUCACGAGGUCAAGAGAUCGACACCAUCCUGGCCAACAUGGUGAAACCCUGUCUCUACUAAAAAUACAAAUAUUAGCUGGGCAUUGUGGCGCAUACCUAUAGUCCCAGCUACUCAGGAGGCUGAGGCAGGAGAAUCGUUUGAACUCAGGAGGUGGAGGUUGCAGUGAGCUGAGACUGCGCCACUGCACUCCAGCCUGGUGACAGAGCGAGACUCUGUCAAAAAAAAAUAAAAAGAGAAAGAAAGGAAGGAAGGAAGAAGGGAGGGAAGGAGGGAGAAAGGAAGAAAGGAAGAAAGGAGGAAAGGAAGAUCUGGGUACGAAUCUUUACUACUCUCCCAAGUUUAUGACUUGACUUCAGACAAGUUACUUAACAUCUACAACUGGAGUAUGCAAAUAU